ACUGGACACUCUGGAAAGCGUCGUGGCUCGCGCCCGACCACCGAAGGGGUAACUCCGUGAUUACAUGGAGGAAAACUCUCAGGUUCCCGUGACAGAGGGGGCAUG
rnacentral:ncRNA from 1 species